rnacentral:rRNA from 1 species
UUGACUGGGGCGGUCGCCUCCUAAAAGGUAACGGAGGCGCUCAAAGGUUCCCUCAGAAUGGUUGGAAAUCAUUCAUAGAGUGUAAAGGCAUAAGGGAGCUUGACUGCGAGACCUACAAGUCGAGCAGGGUCGAAAGACGGACUUAGUGAUCCGGUGGUUCCGCAUGGAAGGGCCAUCGCUCAACGGAUAAAAGCUACCCCGGGGAUAACAGGCUUAUCUCCCCCAAGAGUUCACAUCGACGGGGAGGUUUGGCACCUCGAUGUCGGCUCAUCGCAUCCUGGGGCUGUAGUCGGUCCCAAGGGUUGGGCUGUUCGCCCAUUAAAGCGGUACGCGAGCUGGGUUCAGAACGUCGUGAGACAGUUCGGUCCCUAUCCGUCGUGGGCGUAGGAAAUUUGAGAGGAGCUGUCCUUAGUACGAGAGGACCGGGAUGGACAUACCUCUGGUGUACCAGUUGUCGUGCCAACGGCAUAGCUGGGUAGCUAUGUGUGGACGGGAUAAGUGCUGAAAGC